ACGUAGGUGGCGAGCGUUGUCCGGAAUUACUGGGCGUAAAGGGCGCGUAGGCGGUUUUUUAAGUUAGAUGUGAAAACCCAGGGCUUAACUUUGGGCGUGCAUUUAAAACUAGAGAACUUGAGUGCAGGAGAGGUAAGUGGAAUUCCUAGUGUAGCGGUGAAAUGCGUAGAUAUUAGGAGGAACACCAGUGGCGAAGGCGACUUACUGGACUGUAACUGACGCUUAGGCGCGAAAGCGUGUGUAGCAAACAG
rnacentral:rRNA from 1 species